UGCGCUGCGCUCGCCCUGCGGAACGUGCAAAAGGGUCAAAACCCUAGCCGCCAGUUCUCGUCAAGCACGCGGCCCCUCCGCCUCGUCUCCUCCCUACUCCCUCCUCUCCCACGCCGCCGCCCUCGAGCCCGCGCCGCCUCCACCUCAUCUCCUCCCCGCUCCCUCCUCUACAACGCAGCGCCCUCGAUGCGCUGUAAGGAGCAGGGCAACGGAUUGGAUCGAGGGCGAGCUGGCCUCGCCGCCGCUGCACCUGGAUUCGCUGGCCGCCGCGUCGAGUCACCUCCGUCGCCGUCGCGAGUCAGCUCCACCGUUGCCGCCAGGAAUCCCUUCCCGACAAGGAAAAUUCCUAGGGAUUUGAUUGAUGGAGGCAUCACUAUUUGGCGCUGGAUUAUCCAUUUUUGCAGCACCAGCAAUGUUGUUUUUGUUUGGAAUGGCCAGUUCUCAAUUUCUAAAUCGGCUAUACUAUACUUCUUGUCAGGUUACAUUAUCUUGCUUGGUUUCAGUCUAUAUGUAGCACAAAAAUAGGUGACAUGGUUGGUUUGUAUGUUACACUAAGGAACACCACCAUAAGGAUAAGGGCAUUGCACUUCUUUGUUUAUAUUUGGUCUGUUCCUAUUUGAUUUGCUGUAGUACUUAAUUGCUACACCAUUUCAAGUUUCUUACUAUUUGCUUCUUGCUGUUUCAUUGUAUUCAGUUAUGAUAUAUUUUUCAACUAUACAAGCACUUGGGGAAGUCAGGAAAACUGAACCAAAGACAAACACUUUUACUGAUGAUGUUGGGGCUUUUUUUAACUGAGAUGUGAAAGAUGCAUCUUAUCCCCUGAGAUAUAUUGCCUUUAAUCUCUUGAUUUUUUCCCUGACAUGCUAAUAUAGAGCCAGAUAUGCAUGAUCCAUCAUACACAUUACAACCAAUUAUCCAUUGGUUCUUUUGUCCAUAGAGGUGAUUUUGUUUGGACCAUUAGUCUAGGUAGUGACAUUUUGAUCGAUAAGGCACAAGUUUAUUUUCUUUUUCACUCGGGCUACACUAAAGUAAGCAUAACUGUCAGUGAAAUGAAGGCAUACAAAUCAUGAAGUUUUUGCCUUGGCUGUGUGCCUCGUUUAGUUGUCACUUAUUUAUUUCUGGGAAGUUAUUCAAUUCUCAUUGAGCUUUCCUUAUGCUUUCCAUUGCUAAAGAAGAAAUUUAAACACGCAAUAUUUUAAUGUCUGAGGAGGCGAGAGGAGAUGAAAAAGGGCUGUAAGGUUGUACUUUGGUGCGUCUCUGGCCAAUGAUGGCUGGAUCCAUCUGACGCUCUUCCAAGCAGAGCAGUGCAGAUUUGCUGACUGAGCAGCGGAGAAACAUGUUUCUACAAAUGUGCCAAAACUAAUGGAUUUAAACUACAGGUAUUGCACUAUUAUUCUACAGGUAUCGCUGUAUUGCAUUAUCCAACUGUAAGUCUGUUCUAAACUCUAUGCCCCAUGUAAAUCUGAUGGAAGAUUGGGCCAUUUAAUUUUAACCAAAAAGGGUGAUAUGCUUUGAGUUGCUUGAAUCUGUCCAGACAUGAAAAUUAGAUAUACUUUGAAAGCUCGAUAUAUGAGUACGAGAUAGUUGAUACAGGUGUACCUCUUGUAGGAGAUUAUUAGUUGAUUACCUGCUUCUAUGCGGUGAACAAAUGAGUAAGCAGUUUUAGUUGAUAAAGGUGUAGGCAACACACCAUAUUUGCUCCAUUUUUUGGUUUAUAUGUCAAGGAUGUUUAGCCUUUCCUGAAUAUGUUAAUUGUGAAACAGUUUUGAUGCAAUUUUUGAACCGUUCAGUCUGUUUUGUUCGUGCAGUUCAUGGUACCAGAUCUGCAGGUUGCAUCUUGUGUAGAUUUGGCUACCACAUUAUAUGUUGAUGUUUCACUUUGCUCAGUCAAAGUUUCAGUAAAGAUUUGAAUUGAACAUAUUGUUGUAGACAUACAAAAAUGGUCUGCAUUUUUUACAUCGCCCUGACAUCCGAUUCAAACUAUAUUUUCUGCCUAAACUGUUGCGUACCCAUGAGAUCAUGGGAUAACUCAGACAUGAGCCGGUGUCCAGUGCGCAGUUGGGUGCAUUAUUUGGUGACAUCCAAUGCUAACUGUUUUUUCAAGGCCACCCAGUGGAGUGAGGGUGAGUAGUGUGGCAUCAGCCUACCGUUUAUUUAGCUGGUUCUAGGAUCUCCUUUGUUGCUGCAUCUUGAUCUCCUGCUUUGCUGUAACUAUGUUCUGCUGCUUGAUGUUUGCUUCCUUUCUUUCUAGCUACAUGCUUAUUCUUUCUAGCCACAUGCAUGUUUUCCUUUUGCUGUGGGAAAUAGUUCAGUUAUAUUUAUCAGUAGCAUCUCUAUGUUUAUAGAUACAUACUAGGAACGUGCUUAUUUAGUGUGGCCUUCUCUUUUUUAUGCAAGAAGUGUGCCUUCUCUAAUCUGACAAUCAUCUUAUUUGUUGUUCUAAAUAAUUACUGCAGGAUGGAGCAGCAGGCAUAGAUGAAAUCUACUGCCAAUUUCUAUUGGUUGCGGCAUCUUCCGCUGAGUAACUCUACAAAACAGCCUGCUAGCAUUGAUUCUUGCAAUAAAAAAAGUCUGGCAUCAUUCAUAAAAAGCUUAUAGACAUAGAUAAAUUCUUAAUCCUGCACUGGUUCUCACCAAUGAGAUUGUAGAUGUGGUAUUUUGAGAAUACCAGUGUAAUUCACUGGUCCAAAAGCUCCAUUUCUUAAUGUGUUUUUGCAGAAUGCUACCAGUAAUGUUUUUCUUUUCCUUAAUGUACAAACAUAUCUACUAGAUAUGAUUUUGGAUCUGAACUUUUCCCUGUCUGCAGCUCACAUUGUGGUAUGGUCAUGGUACAGCAAAAGGAAAAGAUGUUUAAACUUUUUUUGGGCGUCAUACAUGAAAAGUACCUUUAUUUCCAUCGAGCUUAAUUACUAAGAAAAUGUUACCACUAUUUCCUUACUAAUAAACCUAAAUGUUCUGAAAGUUCGGUCUCUUGCUCUCUUUGCUUAUGAAUCGGACACUUUCCCUUUCUUUAGUCCUUACACGGUUCCACCUCGCUUUGACUUCAUACUUUGAUGGUGUUUGUAGGUAUGAAGACUUGAAGAGUGGUCAUAAUGUUACUUAAAGGAGGCCUCAACUUGCACCAAAUACAUGGGCAUGUGCAACAGCAACUUAUGUAGGUUUCUAAAAACUAAUAAAUGCUGCUCUCAAAUCAGUUAGGAGGCUGAAGGUAGUAGCUUACUGAACUCUCAUUUCCGGAAAAAUUUGGAGAUGUCUUGUUUGUACAAUCUCUAAAGAUGGUGCUCCAUUGUUCUGUUAAUCAAGAUUUGUUCCCUCCUUUCUUACUAGCUGAUACGUGAUGACCGUUUGCAUGGGGGGGUUAUGUUAACUAUAUUCUAUUCAUGAUUCAAACUGUUUGUUGGGUAAUUUAGUUUAGACAUUGUGUCCUGAGAAUCUUGAUAUCUAGCUGUAUCGGUAUAGUAUAGUUUGUGAUUUUUCCCUCUGAAUUGAUAUAUCCACUCAGGUUGGGAUAGGUUAUGAGUAUUCUUAGUGUGGAAACAGCGGCAGUGCUGCACUUUCAUCAGAUGAUGAUAUGCCAACCUUGCGC